AUGAAGAAUAAGUUAAAAUUUAAACUGGAGGGUUCAUACCCCUAAAAUAGUGCUUGUUCACUUUCUUCAG
rnacentral:tRNA from 1 species